rnacentral:snRNA from 1 species
AUCGCUUCUCGGCCUUUUGGCUAAGAUCAAGUGUAAAAGUAUAUGGCAGCAAAGAUCGCCUCUUUAAUAAAUGGUGCUGGUAAAAGUGGAUAUCUACUUGUAGAUCCUUACCCAUCACAUUGUGCAUAAAUCAAUUCAAAAUGGAUUGAAGACCU